CGUGCGAGAAGGCGGGAUUCUACAGAGAACGGUUAAAGCAAUGAAACUAUCCAUUCAUAGACAGUAUGAGGAUCGUAGAGACUAGCACUUGCCAAAUCCUGGACAUUUUAGGCUCUCUUAGAAAUCACGGACAGGCACUUUUUUAAGGGCCGAAAAAGAGGACAGAUGGUCACCUUAGCCUAAUGUCUAUGGACAAGUAUGUGGAUCAACCUACAGGACUCCUGCAGGAAUGUACCCAUAGAAUUUUCAUUUUGUCAAGCAGAAUUCCUGCAUCAUCCAUUUAAAGACAACUACAAUCCUUCAGGAUCCCUGCAAGACUUAAAAGAGAAGUAUGGUGGUCUCUGUGGAAAUAACACUGCAUGUUUUUUAGUCCCCAAUUGAAUCGAUAGAUGUGGUGGUGGAAUUGUCAAAUGAUGUAAAGAAAAAGUGUGAAACUGUGGAAUAUGUAUAUGUGGAUUUAUCUGCUUUGUGACUCUGUAUCCCCCUGUUGAAAAAAAAAAAAAAACUUUAUAUCUCCAUUCA